rnacentral:rRNA from 1 species
UACGAACUGUGCGAACGUUAUUCGGAAUCACUGGGCUUAAAGGGUGCGUAGGCGGCGCUGUAAGUCAGGUGUGAAAGCCCUCGGCUCAACCGAGGAAUUGCGCUUGAAACUGCAGUGCUUGAGUGAGGUAGGGGUGCAUGGAACUUCCGGUGGAGCGGUGAAAUGCGUAGAUAUAGGAAGGAACACCAGUGGCGAAGGCGACCACCUGGACUGAUACUGACACUGAGGUGCGAAAGCGUGGGGAGCAAACAGGAUUAGAAACCCCGGUAGU